rnacentral:tRNA from 1 species
UCUCUGAUAGCUCAGAUGGUAAAGAAUCUGCCUGCAAUGCAGUAGACCUGGGUUCAAUCCCUGUUUGGGAA